rnacentral:rRNA from 1 species
UACGUAGGGUGCGAGCGUUAAUCGGAAUUACUGGGCGUAAAGCGUGCGCAGGCGGUUCGUUAAGUCAGAUGUGAAAGCCCCGGGCUCAACCUGGGAACUGCAUUUGAAACUGGCGGGCUUGAGUGUGGCAGAGGGGGGUGGAAUUCCGCGUGUAGCAGUGAAAUGCGUAGAUAUGCGGAGGAACACCGGUGGCGAAGGCGGGUCUCUGGGCCGUAACUGACGCUGAGGAGCGAAAGCGUGGGGAGCGAACAGG